ensembl:lncRNA
AUAUUAUCUUCCAAUCUGGGGCUUAUCUGUUUAAUUAUUGAACAGGGUCUUUUAAUUAGCAUACAAAUUUAAUUUUGAUUAAAUUUUUCUUUUAUGGUUUUUGCUUUUUAUACCCUAAGAAAUAUUCGUGUAUCUCAAGGUAUUGAAGACAUUCAAUUUUUCUUCUGGAAGCUAUAUAAUUUUUAGUUCUGAGAUCCAUCUUAAGCUAAAUUAUGUAUACAGGGAGAGAGAUGAGGCAAGAUUUCUCCCCCAUGUAGCUAUUCUGUUGUCCCACCACCAUAUGUUGAGAAGAUGCUCCUUUCUCCUAUCAUUUUGAUUUGGAGGCUUAGUUGAAACUCAUUUCACAAAAAAAAUAGCUGGGAUUCGAGGCAGGAAUACAAAUCAGGAAAAAACAAUAGAGCAGAAAAGAGAAGUUUGGCAUCUGACUCAAGGUUGCAGCAACGGCAUGAAAUCUGCUCGCUCUGACCCUGGAAAUGCCCAGCUGGAGAACUGGUGUGCAUUUGUGAUGUCUGGGUGGACCAGCUGGGUAACAUCACCAUGCCUGUGCAUAGAGAAGGAAUGAUUCUCCCUCUUCCCUUUCACUGUAUCCAGAGUCUGCUAAUGAGGUCCAGAGGACUGACUGCAGAGCCCAUUUUUCCUUUGUAGGAGGCACAUAUGGUACAAUUAUAAAUUACCCAUACCCAAGCCAAAUACACACACACACACACAGAUUAAAUGUAAGCAGUUAAUGAAACAAACAUAUGAAUUAUAGCAGACAUCAAAGUAUCUCUUUUUCAGGGUUACCAUUUUGGAUUACCAUCUAGCCCAUUAGAUGUUUGCUGAAUAAAUUCAGACCAGUGUUAACCAAUAAAAUACAUAUCUACAUGAAUUAGAUGGUGGUCCAAUAUAAUAUUUUCUAUUAAGUAGUGAAUUGUCUUCUUUUAGAUAUUUUGAAAUUAAUGUCCUCUUUAUCACCUGCUAAAUCUGUAUGUUUUUGUUUAAACACAAUGGAACAAUUCAACAAGGUAUUAUAAGAUUUCAUCUAGUGAGGAUAAAAGCUGUUUAGAAAGCAUGACUUAAAAUUUCUCAAAGCUGUUUACUGUCUUGCCUAAAUUAUGCAGACAGAGCUUAUAUAUUAGGGCCUUUGGAUCUUUAGAUUGGAAACAUUUUCAGAUUUAGAAAAGCUUCAUUGUUUAGUUUGAACUUUUCCAUUUAAAAUAAUCAGAGGUGAAUGGGAAACAUAAUCCUCUUACUAAUGUGUUUUUUUAUGAGUGAAUGCUGAGAAACUUAACAUAAAGAUGCAAUCUGAAAAAAAGAAAUAGAAAAGAACUUUCUCACUUUCACUUAAUUACUAAUAAAAAAUUAUAAAAUAUAAAGCCUAAUGUUUAGUGUCAUCUCUUAUUGGAAUAUGUCAGCUUCCCCAGAGACAAUGCAUUGCCACAAGUAGCUAUUUGAAACAAAUCUUUCUGUGAUAUCUGAAGACACUCUUCUGCAAGGCUCUCUCUUCAAGAGUUUCAAAGCAGCACUUUCCCAACCCUCUGUGCAUCCAGCUAAACAAAGCAAGCAAAGGACUAUUUCUCUUUGACUUAUAUUUUACUCGUUAGUCAUUUUGUAUCAUUAUAAUUCUGAAAUAAAAUAAGCCUUAAGAGAAAAAAAUCCACCACAUAUUUUAUAUUAAAUGUUCAUUCAUGAGCUAAUCUUAGCUAGCUGUUCCUUUGAAACCACAAUGCAGUCUUAAAAUCAUUUAAACUGUUACUAAUUUAGCAGUUGUACAGUGAUGGAUUUUUCAGGUUGCUUACAUAUAGA